UACGUAGGGGGCAAGCGUUGUCCGGAAUCAUUGGGCGUAAAGCGCGUGUAGGCGGUUACGUAAGUCUGCUGUGAAAGUCGGAGGCUCAACCUUCGAAAGCCGGUGGAUACUGCGUGACUAGAGUACGGAAGAGGAGAGUGGAAUUCCUGGUGUAGCGGUGAAAUGCGCAGAUAUCAGGAGGAACACCAACGGCGAAGGCAGAUCUCUGGGCCGUAACUGACGCUGAGACGCGAAAGCGUGGGGAGCGAACAGG
rnacentral:rRNA from 1 species